rnacentral:tRNA from 1 species
UCCUCGAUAGUCUAGUGGUGAGGAUAUCUGCUUGUCACUGCAAUAGCGGCAGCUCGCAGGGGACCGGGGUUCAAUUCCCCGUCGAGGAG